UUUUGCGGCAUCUUCGACCUGUGUUGGUUUCAGUUCGUGUGGAACCGAAUGAACGGUUGUUGUCCUCCCCUACCAGGCCGGAAACGGCGUUGGUGGACGGUUCCGCUGAUUUCCGCUGCUUCGUUAAGCAAGGCCGGCCGCGGUCCAAUCCAUCGACUGUAAGUUCGAUUCGGCGGCCGAUUCCAAGGCCCUGGGUGCCAGCUGGUCGAAAAAAGCUCCGAGAAUGAUUGAGCGGAGCCGGAUUAGUGAAGGCGGAAGCAUCACCUGACGGGUUGGACCUUUCCUACUGAGCGGUGUUCAACUGAGCUUUUUGGCGACGUACCCGGAUGUAUUUGGGAAGUUCUGGCUGAUUCAUCACCCAGAUUGCCAACCCAUGUUAUCAACUGGCCAGCGGUCCAAUCCAUUGGAACUUUAGCGAAGUACUGUUCCUCACUAGUGAUGGCAAACUCCCGCACAGGAGCCUGGAGUACAAGCUGUUUACGGUUAAUGUGGCUAAAACGAUAGCCGCUGAGAGGAACAUCCCGCGACUGCCGGAAAUAAGUCGGGCUGGUAGCAUUUUGCUAAGUCUACGCAUCGCGAUUACAGAGUGUGUUCGGCAAUCGCUUUGACAGAAGUGGUCCGACUGCUGUCGGAGAUUGUGUCCCGCCAGCCGGGCGUCCGGAUCGCGGGGCUCGUUCCAGGCGGACGAUCUUCUAACGAGGAGCCGAUCUUCGAGGUGAAAAUAAGGAUUUGGAACCGCAAUCGUGGCUUAGGCGCUUUCGUGUCAACUCCCUGCGCGGUGCCAUCGAACUGAGUCUAAAUCCGGCACUGGAUCGACGGACCGAGCACGUUGCACGCUUCUCCUCCUCCAACUGCAACCGCCGGAACUCACGUCACGGGGAGCACCAUGCCAACGGAAUCGACGGCGCCCAGCAGUAUCCAGCUGCAGCACGGACAUCAAGGCAGAUUUGUCCUGCCAGAUAAGACAAUUCGACUUAUUCGAAGUAAUAUGCCGUAGUUAACAAUCAACGCAAUUUCCUAAUUUAUUAUCGAAAUAUGAAUAAAUAAAUAAAAAGUAAAACUUCUUCUUCUUCUUAUUUCCAUCCAAAUUUCGAAUAGCAACGGUCAAUUCAAAAACGUAAACAUUGAAGUGGCUGCGUGCUGCGUGCUUUUGGCGGGUAGGCGUUACAGCGUUACGUUUGCGAUAUCGAAAAUCACCGUUUGCGAUAUUGGAAGCAAUGCU